rnacentral:rRNA from 1 species
UACGAAGGGGGCUAGCGUUGUCCGGAAUCAUUGGGCGUAAAGCGCGUGUAGGCGGCCCGGUAAGUCCGGUGUGAAAGUCACAGGCUCAACCUGUGAAUGCCGCUGGAAACUGUCUGGCUAGAGUCCGGAAGGGGCGAGUGGAAUUCCUGGUGUAGCGGUGAAAUGCGCAGAUAUCAGGAGGAACACCGGUGGCGAAGGCGGAUCUCUGGGCCUUACCUGACGCUCAGGUGCGAAAGCUAGGGGAGCGAACAGG